rnacentral:rRNA from 1 species
CCUACGGUAGGCAGCAGUCGAGAAUCAUUCACAAUGGGGGAAACCCUGAUGGUGCGACGCCGCGUGGGGGAAUGAAGUUCUUCGGAUUGUAAACCCCUGUCAUGUGGGAGCAAAUUAAAAAGAUAGUACCACAAGAGGAAGAGACGGCUAACUCUGUGCCAGCAGCCGCGGUAAUACAGAGGUCUCAAGCGUUGUUCGGAAUCACUGGGCGUAAAGCGUGCGUAGGCUGUUUCGUAAGUCGUGUGUGAAAGGCGCGGGCUCAACCCGCGGACGGCACAUGAUACUGCGAGACUAGAGUAAUGGAGGGGGAACCGGAAUUCUAGGUGUAGCAGUGAAAUGCGUAGAUAUCGAGAGGAACACUCGUGGCGAAGGCGGGUUCCUGGACAUUAACUGACGCUGAGGCACGAAGGCCAGGGGAGCGAAAGGGAUUAGAUACCCCUGUAGUC